CAGUCGCCGCGGGAAUACGAAGGGUGCAAGCGUUAAUCGGAAUUACUGGGCGUAAAGCGUGCGUAGGCGGUUUGUUAAGUCUGUUGUGAAAUCCCCGGGCUCAACCUGGGAAUGGCAAUGGAUACUGGCAAGCUAGAGUGUGUCAGAGGAUGGUGGAAUUCCCGGUGUUGCGGUGAAAUGCGUAGAGAUCGGGAGGAACAUCAGUGGCGAAGGCGGCCAUCUGGGACAACACUGACGCUGAGGCACGAAAGCGUGGGGAGCAAACAGGAUUAGAUACCCCCGUAGUCCCUGUCUCUUAUAU
rnacentral:rRNA from 1 species